rnacentral:rRNA from 1 species
UACGGGGGGAGCAAGCGUUGUUCGGAUUUACUGGGCGUAAAGGGCGCGUAGGCGGCCACCGCAAGUCGACUGUGAAAUCUCCGGGCUUAACCCGGAAAGGUCAGCCGAUACUGCGGGGCUAGAGUGCAGAAGGGGCAACUGGAAUUCUCGGUGUAGCGGUGAAAUGCGUAGAUAUCGAGAGGAACACCUGCGGCGAAAGGCGGGUUGCUGGGCUGAUACUGACGCUGAGGCGCGAAAGCCAGGGGAGCGAAACGGG